rnacentral:rRNA from 1 species
UACAGAGGGUGCAAGCGUUAAUCGGAAUUACUGGGCGUAAAGCGCACGUAGGCGGUUUUUUAAGUCAGAUGUGAAAGCCCCGGGCUCAACCUGGGAAUUGCAUUUGAAACUGGGGAACUAGAGUGUGGGAGAGGGGGGUAGAAUUCCAAGUGUAGCGGUGAAAUGCGUAGAGAUUUGGAGGAAUACCAGUGGCGAAGGCGGCCCCCUGGCACAACACUGACGCUCAGGUGCGAAAGCGUGGGGAGCAAACAGG